rnacentral:rRNA from 1 species
CCCUGCCAUUUGUACACACCGCCCGUCGCUACUACCGAUUGAACGACCGCAGUGAGGUCUUCGGACUGGACGCGCGUGGCGCUGCCCCUCGGGGUGCGCGUCGUCGCGCGACCGGGAAGAUGACCGAA